rnacentral:lncRNA from 1 species
UUUCGUUCUCCAUCUCCUCUUGUGUCUCUUCAGGCUGUCAAAGAAAGUGUUUCUAGCUUUGUGCGUAAAACUACUGAGAAGAUUGGCACCCUUCACACGAGCCCUGAUCUGAAAGUGAGACCAGAGCUCAGGGGUGAUGAGCAAUCAUGUGAAGAGGAUGUGAGUUCAGAUACCUGCCCAAAGGAGGAAGACACUGAAAAUGGCAAGUUCCAAUCCUGUGUAUAUGGAGAUGGAAAAAGGAGAUCUACCAACAAGGUUAAAGUUACUAGAUGACGAGGUUCCUUUUGAUAGUCCGUUGUUGGUUGUUUAUGCUACCCGGU